CACGUAGGGGGCGAGCGUUGUCCGGAUUUAUUGGGCGUAAAGAGCUCGUAGGCGGUUUGGCAAGUCGGGUGUGAAAUUUCGAGGCUCAACCUCUGGAGGCGAGUGGAUACUGCCGGGCUAGAGUCCGGAAGAGGCGAGUGGAAUUCCUGGUGUAGCGGUGGAAUGCGCAGAUAUCAGGAGGAACACCUAUGGCGAAGGCAGCUCGCUGGGACGGUACUGACGCUGAGGUGCGAAAGCGUGGGGAGCGAACAGG
rnacentral:rRNA from 1 species